rnacentral:rRNA from 1 species
UACGGGGGGGGCAAGCGUUGUUCGGAAUUACUGGGCGUAAAGGGCUCGUAGGUGGCCAACUAAGUCGGACGUGAAAUCCCUCGGCUUAACCGGGGAACUGCGUCCGAUACUGGUUGGCUUGAGUUUGGGAGAGGGAUGCGGAAUUCCAGGUGUAGCGGUGAAAUGCGUAGAUAUCUGGAGGAACACCGGUGGCGAAGGCGGCAUCCUGGACCGAGAUUGACGCUGAUGCGCGAAAGCCAGGGGAGCAAACGGG